rnacentral:misc_RNA from 1 species
GUGAAUCAUCGAAUCUUUGAACGCACAUUGCGCCCGCCAGUAUUCUGGCGGGCAUGCCUGUUCGAGCGUCAUUUCAACCCUCAAGCCCCCCGUGGACUUGGUGUUGGGGACCGGCGACAAUCUGUCGCCGCCCCCUAAAUGAAUUGGCGGCCCCGUCGCGGCCCUCCUCUGCGUAGUAGCUAACACCUCGCAACAGGAGCCCGGCGGCGGCCACUGCCGUAAAACACCCCAAACUUUUUUAGAGUUGACCUCGAAUCAGGUAGGAAUACCCGCUGAACUUAAGCAUAUCAAUAAGCGGAGGA